rnacentral:rRNA from 1 species
UACGUAGGGUGCAAGCGUUGUCCGGAAUUAUUGGGCGUAAAGAGCUCGUAGGCGGUCUGUCGCGUCUGCUGUGAAAACUCGGGGCUUAACCCCGGGCCUGCAGUGGGUACGGGCAGACUAGAGUGCGGUAGGGGAGACUGGAAUUCCUGGUGUAGCGGUGAAAUGCGCAGAUAUCAGGAGGAACACCAGUGGCGAAGGCGCCACUCUGGGCCGUAACUGACGCUGAGGAGCGAAAGCGUGGGUAGCAAACAGG